UUCUUCUUCUUAUUUUCUUUCUUCCUUUCUUUCUUCCAUUCCACCGAACACCCAAUCUUGAAAAAAAAUUUUGGACGAGCUUCUUUGGCGAAUCAACGUCUCUACUUUUUCCUCUCAUUCUCCUGAGCUUGGUGGCGAAGCUUCCUCCGAGGGGAAGGAAAAUUCUGACCUGUGAGCACGUCUCAAGGCGAGACGACUAGUUCAGAUGUGACGUUAAACUUGGUUGUGCUGGGCAGGCAAUAGACUGACCUACCAUUUCUUUUUGUCUAGGUUAGUUGCAGUGUAUAUGUAAACUUUAUGGAUCCACUAAACUUGACUUUUGUGUAUUGUUCUCGUAUUUGUAUUUGUACUUUCUGAUUGUAUUUGUAACGCUGGCUGGUUCUAUUGUUGUUA